AGAAUCAACGCUGGCGGCGUGCCUAACACAUGCAAGUCGAACGAGAAAGUGGUAGCAAUACCAUGAGUAAAGUGGCGCACGGGUGAGUAACACGUGACUAACCUACCCUGGAGUGGGGGAUAACCGAGGGAAACCUCAGCUAAUACCGCAUAACACCUACGGGUCAAAGGAGCAAUUCGCUUCAGGAGGGGGUCGCGGCCGAUUAGUUAGUUGGCGGGGUAAUGGCCCACCAAGACUGUGAUCGGUAUCCGGCCUGAGAGGGCGCACGGACACACUGGAACUGAAACACGGUCCAGACUCCUACGGGAGGCAGCAGUGGGGAAUUUUGCGCAAUGGGGGAAACCCUGACGCAGCAACGCCGCGUGGAGGAUGAAGUACUUCGGUACGUAAACUCCUUUCGAUCGGGACGAUAAUGACGGUACCGAGAGAAGAAGCCCCGGCUAACUUCGCGCCAGCAGCCG
rnacentral:rRNA from 1 species